UUCUGAUAUCUGAUCUCGAUCAUUCUGCUUCCUUCUCUUUGCUCUGAUUCUUAAUCCUUUUUGUUUGUGUGCGAUCUCCACAAGCUGAUUUAUGGAUUUCAGCUGCAAAAUUGAUUCGAUUGAAGUGGGUGUGAUCGCAAAUUUCUACGGGCAACAAGCAUCUGAUUUUCUGGUUCCAUCGAUAUUUCAACCCCUUGAUCGAUUGAUUCCUUGGUUACGGUUUCUACGGUUUGGUCUUCCCAAGUAAUUUAUAGCUUGCUCUCUUGUUUGAUUUUUCAGGAAGGUAUCCUUUUGUGUUCCUCGGUCAGUUCCCUUUCCCUUUUAAAAAUUAAGUUUUGCUUGAUGCAUAGGUGAAUUCUAUGCAGAGGAAAAUGAGAAGGAAAAGCAGAUUUGGUUUCUGAGCAUCGAUUGAAAUUUUUUCGAGUAUCUAAAGCUUCUGAUUAUGCUACCUACUUCAUGUCUUGAAGGGGUCGUUAUAAACCAGUUUCUUUAUAUUUACUAAACUGAAAUUUAGUUGAUUUUGAACGCACUGAAAAUAUACUGUCUCUGUUGUAGCUAGAUCCUGUUAUAAUGAAUAAAGCAUCAUUUUUAACAUCACAAAGCCUAUCAGAUGAGGGGAGUGAUAUACUCUGCAGGAACAGAUUCCAGAGAGGAGAAAGGGUACUGGGCAGAGUUUAGAGAGACAAAAGGGAAAACAAAACCUACUAACAAUAUCGGCCAGUCGUUUACUUGGAAAGUUUGCACAUCGGGUCUUUUGUCAUCUUAUACUGGGCUCUGGUGUCUUUUACAUAAGUUCUAUAGUG